rnacentral:tRNA from 1 species
GAAGGUAUAGUUCAGUGGUUAGAGCACAUGUUUAGCAAGCAUGAGGUCUUGGGUUCAACCUCCAGUACCGCCG